rnacentral:rRNA from 1 species
AGCGAACGCUGGCGGCAUGCCUAACACAUGCAAGUCGAACGAACUCUUCGGGGUUAGUUGCGGACGGGUGAGUGCCACGUGGUAACUUGCCCUUUGGUUCGGUAUCCCUCACGGAGAGUUGUGCUAAUACCGCUUGUGCUCUUCGGGGGAAAGAGUUCUCGCCAUUUGAUCGGCCCGCGUCUGAUUAGCUAGUUGGUGAGGUAACGGCACAUCAUGGCGAGGAUCGUGAGCUGGUCUGAGAGCAUGACCAGCCCCAAUGGGACUGAGACACGGACCACACUGCUACGGAAGGCAGCAGUAGGGAACACUGCGCAAUGGGCGAAAGCCUGACGAAGCCACGCCGCGUGAGUGAGGAAGGUCGUAGGAUUGUAAAUUUCUUUCACCCGGGACGAGAAUGACGGUAACGGGAGAAGAAGCCCCGGCUAACUACGUG